GAACGCCCGCAGCAGGGUCAGAAGGGAGGUGGUCGCCCUCCGUCGUGGUCUGGCGUGUAUUCCGAGCCUUGGUGUCUGGCGGUUUCCGAGCGUUGGUGUCUGGCGGUUUCCGAGCGUUGGUGUCUUGGCGGUUUCCGACCGUUGGUGUCUGGCGGUUUCCGACCGUUGGUGUCUGGCACGCGCCACCCUCUCUUGCUUUGGUUGCGCCAUGCCGAUGUACCAGACAAGAAGACAAGAAAAUGAUUUGAGGACAGCUUCAAUCGCGGUGUGAAGAAGAAAGCAGCAAAACGACCACUGAAAACAACGCCGGUGGCAAAAUAUCCAAAGAAAGGGUCCCAAGCGGUACAUCGUCAUAGCCGGAAACAGUCAGAGCCACCAGCCAAUGAUCUUUUCAAUGCUGCGAAAGCUGCCAAAAGUGACAUGCAGGGAUGUCCUUCCUGAGAUCCGUGCUAUCUGCAUUGAGGAAAUUGGGUGUUGGAUGCAAAGCUACAGCACGUCUUUCCUCACCGACAGCUAUUUAAAAUAUAUUGGUUGGACUCUGCAUGAUAAGCACCGAGAAGUCCGCGUGAAGUGCGUGAAGGCUCUGAAAGGGCUGUACGGUAACCGGGACCUGACCGCACGCCUGGAGCUCUUCACUGGCCGCUUCAAGGACUGGAUGGUUUCCAUGAUCAUGGACAGAGAGUACAGUGUGGCAGUGGAGGCCGUCAGAUUACUGAUACUUAUCCUUAAGUGAGUCCUGGGAAGAGGGGAGGCCAGUGUCUCAGACCUUUGCCCUUCCAGGGUCAUCUCCCUCCACCUGUCACAGCUGACUCUUCCAUCUGUGCAGGUUGACUGAGGUCAUUCCUGAGUUGCAGUAUGUUGAGAGGGUAAUAUUUCUGUCUUCUCUAACUCCCCAUACUCCCUUGUCUUCCACUCUCCAUUUAGGAGUUUUUUGUGAGUUAUGUCCUUGUUGCUUUUGCCUCUUUUUCUUUCUAGCCUUGAUUGUGCCAGAAGACAAUGUCCCUAUUCACACACUCUUUCUGCUUUUCUGUGGGCAGGAACAUGGAAGGGGUGCUGAUGGACGUGGACUGUGAGAGCGUCUACCCCAUUGUGUAGGCCUCUAAUUGAGGCCUGGCCUCUGCUGUGGGUGAAUUUCUGUACUGGAAGUGAGUGGGGCUCCUUUUACGUUUCUUUAACACCACCCUCUCGGUUUCUCUCCCACAUGUGCUGCUGCCCUACUUAAGGCCUCCCCAUCUCCGUGGAAGUCUCUCUGCUGUCUCUUUUCCUCUCUCAGCUCCUUGGGGCUUUCCUUAGCUCUGCACCUCCUUUUCCUUUAUCAUCUCCUUGGGCCAUCUCCUCCCUCUGUGGUCAUCAUUACACCUCCUUGUUUCCUCCUGUGCUGAGCCCUUUCCUUGUGUCCAUUCCACCAGACUUUUCUACCCUGAGUGCGAGAUAAGAACGAUGGGUGGAAGAGAGCAACGCCAGAGCCCAGGUGCCCAGAGGACUUUCUUCCAGCUUCUGCUGUCCUUCUUUGUGGAGAGCAAGGUGACAUACACAGAGAUAACUCUGGCUGUUGUGCAUAGGACCUACAAGUGGGCUGGGGUUGGUGGUUCACGCCUGUAAGCCCAACACUUUGGGAGGCUGAGGUGGGAGGAUCCUUUGAGCCCAGGAGUUUGAGACCAGCUUGGGCAACAUAGUGAGACCCUGUCUCUACCAAAAAAAAAAAAAAAAAAAAAA
ensembl:lncRNA novel transcript